rnacentral:sRNA from 1 species
UAAGAUCUGAAACAGUGUGCAAAGCUUAU